rnacentral:rRNA from 1 species
CCCGCUGAACUUAAGCAUAUCAAUAAGCGGAGGAAAAGAAACUAACAAGGAUUCCCCUAGUAACGGCGAGUGAAGCGGGAUGAGCUCAAAUUUAAAAUCUGGUGGUCUUUAGGCCAUCCGAGUUGUAAUCUAGAGAAGCGUUUUCUGUGCUGGACUGUGUACAAGUUUCCUGGAUACGGAACAUCAUAGAGGGUGAGAAUCCCGUCCUUGGCACAGACUCCCAGUACUUUGUGAUGCGCUCUCAACGAGUCGAGUUGUUUGGGAUUGCAGCUCAAAAUGGGAGGUAAAUUCCUUCUAAAGCUAAAUAUUGGCGAGAGACCGAUAGCGAACAAGUACCGUGAGGGAAAGAUGAAAAGAACUUUGGAAAGAGAGUUAAACAGUACGUGAAAUUGCUGAAAGGGAAACGCUUGAAGUCAGUCGCGUCAUUCAGGGAUCAACCUUGCUUUUGCUUGGUGUACUUUCUGGUUGACGGGUCAGCAUCAAUUUUGACCAGUGGAAAAAGAUUAAGGGAAUGUGGCAUACAUAGUGAUGUGUUAUAGCCCUUGGUUGCAUACAAUGGUUGGGAUUGAGGAACUCAGCACGCCGCAAGGCCGGGUUUUGACCACGUUCGUGCUUAGGAUGCUGGCAUAAUGGCUUUAAUUGACCCGUCUUGAAACACGG